AUUUCCGCUACAAGAGCAUUUUUGAUUCUUGCAGCCAGGAUCAUUUGUCCUGGAGCUACUGUUUAAGUGGAAACUGUGGAAGUCAGGCCAGUCUGGAAAGAGGCGUGAUACAUAACACUGGUGGAAAGUAUCCUUACAAUUCUAAUUGGUGCCAAAAAGAAGGUGUUAUGACCAGACGCCUUCCGAGUGAUAAGCCUUUUGAACUUACUGCAUCAAGCUGCUGUUGGGUGUCUUUGAGAAACUCUUUGUCAUAUUGGAACCUUCCAAUCCUGGUAGAUCUUGGACUUCGAUCUGACACGAAUGAAGCAAACCGUUCUCCAGUCACAACCAUCAUAUCAUUUGUCCGUGUACCACAGAACUGUCCUCGCACAUACAACUUGAUCGCUUUUGAUGCAGAUGAUGAUCACGUCAGAUGUAGAAGCAACAGAGGUUUACCCUCAGGGUUCCACCUUGAUCAAGAUUCUUGCGCUUUACACUAUCACAGCACCAGCACUGGAUCCUAUGGUUUCGAAAUAGUUUUAGAGGACUUCCCCAAUCAGAACAUCACUCUUACCUACAAUGACACAACCACAUCUUUCAAGGGUCCAAUCCAUGCAGGGUGGCCAUUGGUGCAUUCUCUCUCAACACCAGGUCCAUCCAUAAGUAGUACAACGGUACCAUCUCCAACCCAACAAUACGGCUACGGCUCUACCCCUUGGUCACAGAACAGCACUCCAUUGAGCAAACUUCCACUGCAAU